CAUUGCUGCACGUUUACAGUUUGCACAAGAGCACCUGGAUGUUCCACAGCAGUACUGGCAAAAUAUUCUGUGGACAGAUGAAACCAAAGUUGAGUUGUUUGGAAGAAACACACAAUACUAUGUGUGGUGAAAAAAGGCACAGCACACCAACAUCAAAACCUCAUCCCAACUGUGAAGUAUGGUGGUGGGGGCAUCAUGGUUUGGGGCUGCUUUGCUGCGUCAGGGCCUGGACGGAUUGCUAUCAUCGAAGGAAAAAUGAAUUCCCAAGUUUAACAAGAC